ensembl:lncRNA
UGGUCAGUGAGAUACGGGGGUUGGUUGGUCAGUGAGAUACAGGGGUUGGUUGGUCAGUGAGAUACAGGGGUUGGUUGGUCAGUGGGUGGUUGGUCAUGGGUGGUUGGUCAGUGAGAUACGGGGGUGGUUGGUCAGUGAGAUACGGGGGUGGUUGGUCAGUCAGUCAGUGGGUGGUUGGUCAGUGAGAUACAGGGGUUGGUUGGUCAGUCAGUGGGUGGUUGGUCAGUGAGAUACGGGGGUGGUUGGUCAGUGGGUGGUUGGUCAGUCAGUUACGGGGGUGGUUGGUCAGUGAGAUACGGGGGGUGGUUGGUCAGUCAGUGAGAUAUGGGGGUUGGUCGGGACCUCCACGGCACAAAGUGAGGAGAAAGACGUGUUCAAAACUCAAUCCUGUCAUUUAAUAAUACCAUGAUUAGAAACAUUAUUAUAUUACGUU